rnacentral:rRNA from 1 species
AGGACGAACGCUGGCGGCGUGCUUAACACAUGCAAGUCGAACGCUGAAGCUUAGUGCUUGCACUGGGUGGAUGAGUGGCGAACGGGUGAGUAAUACGUGAGUAACCUGCCCUUGACUCUGGGAUAAGCCUGGGAAACUGGGUCUAAUACUGGAUAUGACCUCCUGUCGCAUGGUGGGGGGUGGAAAGGGUUUGUACUGGUUGUGGAUGGGCUCACGGCCUAUCAGCUUGUUGGUGGGGUAAUGGCCUACCAAGGCGACGACGGGUAGCCGGCCUGAGAGGGUGACCGGCCACACUGGGACUGAGACACGGCCCAGACUCCUACGGGAGGCAGCAGUGGGGAAUAUUGCACAAUGGGCGCAAGCCUGAUGCAGCGACGCCGCGUGAGGGAUGACGGCCUUCGGGUUGUAAACCUCUUUCAGCACGGAAGAAGCGAAAGUGACGGUACGUGCAGAAGAAGCGCCGGCUAACUACGUGCCAGCAGCCGCGGUAAUACGUAGGGCGCAAGCGUUGUCCGGAAUUAUUGGGCGUAAAGAGCUCGUAGGCGGUUUGUCGCGUCUGCUGUGAAAGCCCGGGGCUUAACCCCGGGUGUGCAGUGGGUACGGGCAGACUUGAGUGCAGUAGGGGAGACUGGAACUCCUGGUGUAGCGGUGAAAUGCGCAGAUAUCAGGAAGAACACCGAUGGCGAAGGCAGGUCUCUGGGCUGUUACUGACGCUGAGGAGCGAAAGCAUGGGGAGCGAACAGGAUUAGAUACCCUGGUAGUCCAUGCCG